rnacentral:rRNA from 1 species
GGGUUGUGAGGUUAAGCGACUAAGCGUACACGGUGGAUGCCCUGGCAGUCAGAGGCGAUGAAGGACGUGCUAAUCUGCGAUAAGCGUCGGUAAGGUGAUAUGAACCGUUAUAACCGGCGAUUUCCGAAUGGGNAAACCAGUGUGAUUCGUCACACUAUCAUUAACUGAAUCCAUAGGUUAAU